rnacentral:lncRNA from 1 species
AUUGCAGCUUUGGAUUUAUUCGCACCAAAAAAAUCCAGUCCAGUGGGCCUUUUUCUCUUACAAGUAAGACACAGACUUAGAACUUAGUAACUUGCUGGCGGUGAGGCAGCGAGUAAAUGUUUGAACAUGGUUCCUCCAACUUCAAAGGCCAAGCACUACCCUGUGCUACCUCCAGCAGAAGUUGGUUUUUACCAAGGCAAAGAAGAUAGGGUGGAUUUUCCUGAACAUAACAGAGUCGUGCCCAAUCUAUCUCCUAGUUUUCAAAACCUUUAACCGACCCUCCCUCCGCAGAGACCGGUGGGCUUCCCCGCCCUCCUACGGAUGAGAGCCACGCCCCCAGGAAAGGGGGUGGCUGGGAACCCUGCUAACCCUAGAGGGGUACCUUGGGUGCCAGGGCAACCGCCCGCCUUCAGGCCGUGCGGACAGGCAAGCGGCUCUGCCCCCACGUGCCGCGGACACAGCGGGCGUUGCGCACCGGUUUCGGCUGGAGGGCUGAGGAGGACCUGAAAGGGCUUCCAGAAGGAAAACUUCCGAGCGUGAAGCACAGAACAGUCCUUCCUCCUCCUCCGCUCCCGAAGCCCGUCUGGGAAGGCGCCGCGCCGGGGCCAGAGCCGCCUCCUGGGGGAUUCUGCCCUGGGGAGGUGGAGCUCAGCGGGGCCUCCCCGACCCUCGCUCUCGGGCGCUUCCAGCCUCCCGCGUAGGACUGAGGCCGCGCCCCAGGCGAGGUCCCAGACAGCGGCCUCCAGGGGGAGCCGCUCGGCGGGCGACCGAGAUGCGGUCAGCGGGGCGCGUGACCCGGGCCGCGAGCGGGAGGGUCUACCAGCAGGUCUUCCCCGCUGCGGGAGGGUCUACCAGCAGGUCUUCCCCGCUGCGGCAGGCACUGGCCCCCGGCCCCGCCUUCCUCCUUGUCUCCCGACUCCCCCUCCCCCCCCAGCGCCUCCUUCUCUGGUGCCCUUUUCUGCUCCUCCCAUCCCCACCCCAUACCCAAAUUCCCCUUGCUCUGAGGGCUUUCCUGGAGGGGAAGCCAAUUAAAUAAAGGAUUUUGACAUUGC